GAUGAACGCUAGCGACAGGCUUAACACAUGCAAGUCGAGGGGCAGCGGGGGUAGCAAUACCCGCCGGCGACCGGCGCACGGGUGAGUAACGCGUAUGCAACUUACCUAUCAGAGGGGGAUAACCCGGCGAAAGUCGGACUAAUACCGCAUGAAGCAGGGGCCCCGCAUGGGGAUAUUUGCUAAAGAUUCAUCGCUGAUAGAUAGGCAUGCGUUCCAUUAGGCAGUUGGCGGGGUAACGGCCCACCAAACCGACGAUGGAUAGGGGUUCUGAGAGGAAGGUCCCCCACAUUGGUACUGAGACACGGACCAAACUCCGACGGGAGGCAGCAGUGAGGAAUAUUGGUCAAUGGGCGCGAGCCUGAACCAGCCAAGUCGCGUGAGGGAUGAAGGUUCUAUGGAUCGUAAACCUCUUUUAUAAGGGAAUAAAGUGCGGGACGUGUCCUGUUUUGUACGUACCUUAUGAAUAAGGAUCGGCUAACUCCGUGCCAGCCGCCGCGGUAA
rnacentral:rRNA from 1 species